CGGCGUGGCGUGGCGUGGCGGAAAGGGGCGCUCAGAGCCCGCCCCGCCCCGAGAUUUAAAGGGGCCGGCCGCUCCCAGCCCUGUGGGGUGCAAACUCCCCACCCGACUGCAGAGCAGCGCAACGCCGCGUGUGCCCGCAGGCCGGCUAUCGGGCACAGCCCCUGGGCUGGAUGCACGUGCACAGGGGUCUGACUUAUUCUGGGGUUGGGCAGUGGAGGUGUUUGGUCGCGGGGCGAGGGGAUGUAUCUCCUCCUUCGCUGUCCCAAUGGCGCGGGGUCGAGGUGAUCUCGCAUUUCUGAAAGCGGUGGCAGUCCCUGUUUUCCACCGGCUCCCUAACCCGGUAACCAGCUGCUUCGCUGCACCCGCCCCAUCGGUGUUUCCGCCAAAAGAACCAAUAAUGAAGUGGCUGAGAUAGGAUCAGCUCCAACAGGAGAUACCAAAGAAACUGAAUUCAGAACUUGGCAAAUAACCUAACUGGAUAAUAAAACUGUAGUCCCAAUCCUACAAACCUUUUACAUGUGGAACUCUCACUGAUGUCUAUGGAAGUUCUGCCUGUGGAGAGCUUACAGAAUCAGGCCAUAAUGUGUAUCAGGAAUGUCAAGAUUUGAUGGAGGACCUUAGAUGUUUAUUACAAGAUCUUACAUGCUAACAGGACAGGUGAGUUGAAUCUUUAACACAAUACCCUUUAUCCAAAAUGUUUCCUAAUCAUUGGAGUUAAGAGGUGAUACCAAAAUGAAGCACAAAAAAACCCAAACUAAAACAAAAAAACAUGGUCUCUUUCCCAAGGAAUGGGACCUAGGACUAAGCUACCAGCUUUAGGUGUAAGAAUGGCAAACUCAGUCAUCUAGAAGCUGAAUUAAAUACCAAAUACAAAAAUACCAACAAGUCUGGAGAGAGUUUCUGGUGAUAUAAACAAGUAAAAAAGGGGUUGUUUCUUAAUAAUUAUCUGACCAAUUUUUAAAAAAUCAAGGUUAAAUGCAAUUUUCCCAAAUGUUUAUUUUUUAAACAGCUAUUUCUCAGUCAGAACAAGCAAAAGGAAUUUCAGUUCCGAGGGUUAAAUGCCUGAGAAACAAGGGCUUAGAUUCAAUGUCAUCUCAGUUAUUAUACCUAUCAUGCUGCUAACAUGUAUAAUGGAAGAACACCAGAGCACAGACUUCUGUUUCAGAUGUCACUAAAGAGUUAAUGAAGCUCUGCAUUUACUGUAUCCGCCCCUCCCCCCACUGUUUAAUCCUCUGCUAAGAGAUUUGUUUAGGUGUGCCCAGUGAGCAGACAAGCCAUGAGUUCUGCACCACCACAGUGACAGCAGAAAGAAGGGGUCCUUGCGUCAAAGGGCACAGCCACAAUUGAGGCCAAAUGCUGCAAUUUGUCAGGAUUGCUGCACUGCUGUUUGCACACGCAUGCAUACAACAGCAGAUUGUUCCAGACACACAGUGAUAGGUGCAGGCAGACAUGAAACAAGUCAGUCUUUAGCCUAAGCAUUCUUCCCAGGAAAAGAUUUUAACCUGAUUGCAGCUCAUGGUGCAAAUAAGUCUUUAUGAUAGUGACACACUUGUUUGGAAGUUAAAACAAAACAGAAUGCAAGAGAGAACUAAAGUUCAGUUAUAUUUGUGCUCAUGGCACAGAAAAGGCAGUAUUUUAGAGAAAGACCAGUGAAGGGGCAGUGGUUUUGUUAGAAGAACCAUCGCUGUAAGUACUUUACAUUUCUUUUAAAAAACAUAGCCUAUUACUUACCAUGUUUUUUAAAAACCAACUUUGAACAGCCCCCAACCACUGUGCUUUGUUACUGGAAAGCUGCUCUCGUGGCAUAACACUCUUACUUGUCAUUUAAGGACAGUCCCCCAAAGGGUUAAAUAGGAGUUUCCUGAUGAAUGUUGGUAUUUGAAAAGUGUGAGCUCUGGUGAUGUGGAUAAGCCUUGCCCAAAAUUAUAUGGUAUGUGAGAGUGCUGCUUUAGCUUCUGACCUCAUCCCUGCCACGUGAAGCAUUCAGUUAAAUAUAGAUUUCGAUGCCCAACCCACAAUGAUAUUUUUCUCACCGUAGGUGAGUAAAGCCUGUUAAAUAGGGUGUCACAGCCCUGAAUCCCAAAAGUCUCUUGUAUACUCCAGUACCUUCCAUUUGUUAGCAGGCUUCUUAGGUUAGAAGCAUUUAGCUCUACAGCACCCUUGGCAAACCUCCGCUUCUCUAGCAAAGCUGCAUUUUCUGCUACUGUUAAACUAGGCAGCCGCCAAACAAUUUUAUUUAAAACCGAGCGAGUAACUUCAUUCAGAACGAUCAACGUUGAUUCAGCCCAGUGCAAACAAUGCAGAGGGGCGCCACUACAGGAGGGAGGUCUACACAUUAAAAAACAAAACAUGAGAACAAUAAAAUAUCAGAAGGGUAAAUACUAGGAAAAUAAACAUCCUUCAGGAAAAGAUAAAGAAUGAAAGCGGAAUUGGAACUAUUAAUAAAAAUGUCAAAACAUCAUCUACUUCUUUCACAGCCUUGUGACCUGCAAGCCUUAAAAGAACCUGUUGUGCCUUACAAUUAGAAAGUAUAAUCUGAUGUUAGACUCUUGGGCAAAUGUAAUAAGUAAUUCAAAUCAGAAUCAUAAAGUGUAAGGGCAGAAGAGACCACCAAGUCAUCUAUAUCAUAGGCCACCAACACCACCCCAUACUCCCACACUACCUCAACAACUGAAAUUAGACCUAAGUAUUACAGCCUACAGGACACUAAAGUACUAUGCACCACAGUGAGAAAAUAGAAGGGACUGACAUGCACUACUGCCUGAGACGCCUACAAUGGCAGUAAAAUGAUUGAGAUAAUCCUGGCAAGUGCCCCAUACCCACAUGCUGCAGAGGAAGGCAAACCUCCCCAUCCCCAUCACUGCCAAUCUGACCUGGUGGAAAUUCCUGUCUGACCUCACCCACAUAUGCCUAUCAGUUAGACCCUGAGCAUGUGAGCAAGAACCAGCCAACCAUACACGUGAGAGUGAGAGAAUGCUUGUUUUACCUUUCUAGUUUUGAAAGAUUUAAAAUAAGGUUUGAAGUCAUGGGACACAGAAUCAGUGCUAGAUCACCGGGUAGAGAGUAAAUAAUAUACAUCACAUAAAUAUGAAAUGCCAAACAGCUGGCAUAUUUACCUGACUAGGAAAGCUGUCAUUCUACCUCCCUAUGUGAUGUGUUAUUUGGGUAUGGACAAUUAAAAUUAAGGGUCGCAUAUUUGUCUACCAAUGAAAGAUUAUUUUUUCUAUGUAUGUUAACAGUCAGACUUAGUUUGCCUUGUUUAUGUAAACUUCUGAUAAAGUUGCGAGGUAACCAUGAAGCACAGAGGGAAAUUCAAAUUUUUUCUCCAGUCAAAAGUUAAUUACACAAUACUGUGAGUUUAUCAGGUUUUAUUGUAAUGAGUACACUUGUCUUUAGAGGGCUUAGAAACAUCUGAUUAUCUGGUGGUAGAGUUAGCUGGAAGGCAACAUCUGCAACUGGCAUAUUUCUUGAAACAACAUCUCUAUGUCUAAUGGACUUGUGGUCUAAAUUCAUAAAGUGCCAAGCACCACCAUUCCCAGUGAUGUUGGGAAAUGUGGGUUUAAAAUCCCUGAAAAAAAAAAAAUCAAGCCACUUAUAUUCCAGGAGUCUCAGGGAAGUAUGCAAUAAUGAAAAAUACAGAAAUCUAUUUCCUUCCUAAUUUGCAAAAUGUAUUCUUAAAUCAAAUUACUCACAUCGCUAAGAACCCAUUCAUGUGGCAAUGGGGGGGAAAUCCUAAAAUGUUUUCAAAUAUAUAUUCGUAUUAAAUGUAACUGGGCCCAUUCCAUGUAGUUGCCCAUUAGCAAGUUUGCUACAAAUGUAUACAAGACAUUCCCUCCAGUGGAGUCCUCAAAGCUAAUAUAAGGGGACUAAGUUUGUGGCUGUAUAAAUCUGAAGCAAAUUCUAUCAUAAACUAAAACACAAGCAGGGAGUAGCGUGAGUUUUAACACUAUCAGGAGUGCAGGGUUGUGUCAUUUCUGUGGCCACAGCAAUGAUCACUCAGGCAUGAAUGAAUGGUUCUGUUUGGGAAGUACUAUGAAAGGUAAUGCUCAAAUAUUGUAGAAGACACAAAUAUUGGUUGAUGUGUAAUUAUAUGAAGUCACUGUGGUUUUAUAGCUCAAAGUAAACAGCAGCAUUUAAAACUCUAAUUAUUUCACUGCAAAUUUUUGAAUAAAGAGUUCAUCUAAAAAAGCACAUUGCACUGCUCAGUUAGCUAGGCCACAUUGCCAAGUUUCAGCUUCCUAAGCAACUGAACUACUGCAAUCUCACACAAGUACUGUGUAAUUAAUUAGAUUUUAAUAGCCAUUCACACAGCUGUGAGUUCACAAGGUUUAUUUUCUCCAGUCUACAGCAUCAUUACAAAGUCACCUGAGACCACAAGAGAAGCUAACUCCAUAUAAAAAAAAGCCUCGCUGACUAACCAGCACUUUUCUCCAACUAACCAUUUCAAUUCCAUAUUUAUUUAAAAGAGGAAAGAUAGCAAGAGGAUAUUUUAGUAUGUCUUUAACGAGGAUUUUGAGUCAGAGGAUGAUGUGCUUUUCAAGUUGUGAAAAGCGUGCCUAGAGCAUUCCAUAAGUAUUUUAAAAUUUCAAUGACUUAACACUAAGUCCUGUAAGACUUACUUCUUUCAUAAUGUCCAUAAGAAGCAAGUAGAUAAUUAUAUAAUGUUAUAUAUAUUUUCAAAAAGCCUUUGUAACCCAUCCGGAUGGGCACAUAACUAAGGCCAUAACUAAGAAACCACAUGACCCUAUUCCUAUAAACCUUGCUGUUUUCUCUAUUGUACACUUUGGGGCACUGCAAAAACAAUAAAUAGAUGCUUUCUAAGCAUGGAAGACAAAUGCCAGUGGAAAAUACUCCGGUUAAUUUCACUUUGUUGCUGUUUGGGAGACCUAUGUGCAGCAGCACAGAAAUUACUCAUGGUAAAGAAAGAAACCCCCUCUCCCACAUAAAAAAGAGAGGUUGAGAGAGGAGUCGAAAGUAAGAGAGAUUCUUACUAUUUCCACCCCUUUUCUAUCAGUGAGAGGCAGAAAGCUCCUUCUAUUUUCCAACAGCUAGUAGGAAGUAGGAUUUCCAAUUUAGCAGAUUCCUACCAGCCAGAGGCUGGGACGAAGGAUGGAGCUCCUACGCAAAGAGCAGAAACAUCAGCCUGGGAAAAUCCCAGCACUCUCCCCAUUAUCCAACAGUUAGGGAAGAUAGAGGAGUAGUUACUUGCUACUCCAUCUUUUGUAUCCACCUCUGGCAUGCUCUUCAGACCCUGUACUAACUGGUGCAUAUAUAUAUGGCAAUGACCCAAUUCUAUGUUUCCUGCAGGAGAUUUGGAUGCAUAAAGAAAUGCAGAAUCAGGUCCCAGCCUAUUUCCCACAGGCAACUGAACUAUCAGCUUUAACAGCGUUCAGUCACUCAGACUACAUUUGAACUCAUAAGUCAGAGAUGAAAAGCUCCAAAUCCCAUCACCAAGGAGGAACCCUGUCGUGACAAGACAAUGAUGACCGGUUCCCUGGACUGGAACUGGAACUCAGGAACACAGGAACAGAAGCCGGAACACAGAAUUCUGGAACAGGUGAUCGCUCAGGUAAGUGGACAAUGUCCUCUUCUUCCUCUACCUUCUGUUCUUGAAGGCAUCGUCCUGUGUGUGGUAUGCGGACUCUUCUUUCUUAGAUGUGUAACUGUUGCAUGCAGGUAAGUCUUGAAGCUGGAAGCUAGAUGGAACCUGAAAUCACUAACAAGUCCUGGUUGGGCUGGGCUCUAGCUCUUGGCUGCUUGUGUAGAAGACUGAGUGCCAUUCUGAAGGACAGCCCAGAGUAACGGUUAUGCUACCCUUAAAUAAUCUGUAGUUGCUGGGCAGACUAGGCUGUUACAUGACUUAACCUUUUCCCGCUCUAAUUUGAAAAAGGCAAAAAGGGUGCUAAACUCUCCAUGAAGGAGGGUGUUCAAGAUGGAGACCUAGUUGUUGUUUCAAUAAAUUCAAGAUGGCGAAUGGGGAAACCAUAACAAACAGAUUUUAACCUAACACUUUUACUUCAAUUUUACACCAGCAGAACUCCACUGACUUCACUGCAGUUACUCCUGACUGUUGUGAGAGGAAAAUCAGGGCUACAGCAUAUGAAAAUGCCAUCCUCCACAGUGGGCACUGAUGAGGAGCUAAGAUCUUGAACUGUGUGUGACUUAGCAAGAAGGUUGAAUCACCGAACACCCACCUGAACUGAGAAAAAAGCAGGUUCACGUAGCAGUUGACCAGGGAGCUUUCUCAUGAGGUGAGUGUACCCCAUUACAGGGAACCUCAGUGAUAGAGGAUCUCUGGUUCCAAGUAGCUAAAAUGUAUUGAAAAUAUUGACUUUUUUUUACUGACCACUUUUUGUUUUGUUCUUUAUUUUACAAAUAUGGGUCCUGCUCCUGCAGCAGGAUCUACUAUGGAGCCCCCUUCGUGCAAAGCUCUCUUAAAAAUAUACAAAACAAACUUAUUUGUAUUUUUGAUCCAUUACACUAAAAUUUCAAAGAUAGUGCAAAAAAUUGUAAAGUAGAUAGUCUUUAUAACACACACAAACAAAACAGAACAUUCUUUUUCACUUACUGUAUUUCCUCAUCAACAAUCCUAUUAAAAUGAUUUACAGUUUAUCUGUACACUUACUAAUUGUUCAUAUCAAAAAUAUUUCUUGGUUGUGGCAUACUACAGUGUGCAUUACAUCUAAUUAAAAUUCCAAUUUAUAUGAUAUGCUUUAGGAGGCAAUGGGGCAUAGUGGAUGGGGCUCUGGGGUAGGAGGCAGGAGACCUGCAUUGUAUUCCAUGCUCUGCCACUGACUGCCUCUGUUAGCUUGGGCAAGUCACUGCUCUCCUCCCCCUCUAUGCCUCUAUUUCCCCUCAUACCCUUUGACUCUCCUUCAGUUUAGAAAGUAAAGUCAUCAGGACAGAGAAUCUCUUACUAUGGGUGAAACCCUUGAGAUGUUGAAGUCAGUGGGAGUUUUGCUAUUGACUUCAGAAGGGCCAGGAUUUCAUCCUGUAUGUGUUCAAAUAAUAAUUAAUUUGUCCCCUUCCCCAACCAAGCAACAGGUUUUCUUUUCUAUUUCUGCCCUCUAUGGUCUUCUGGGAUUGUCAGUAAUAUCUAGAUGUGGUACCUGUGAAAUAUGUGUGGGUUUAAGUUGUCUGCUAUCUUCCUCUAUUGUUAUUUACCAGCAUCACUGAGAACAAGUGAGUUUAAAAAAAAAAUGGAGCUUCUGCACUAACUAAUUAAAAAAAAAUCACCUGCUGUUCAAACUCUUGUAUUGCAAAAAUCCUUUGUCUGGUUAACCUCUCUCUCUUUCUUUUCUUUU